ACUGCACCCUCACACACAGCUUCCUCACAUGCACAUAGCACCCUCAUGCAAACACAGCACCCACUCACACACAGCACACACACACUGCACCCAUCACACACACAGCACCCUUACCCACAUAGCACCCUCAUGCAAACGCAGCACCCAUCACUCACACACACGCUACACCCCUUACACACACACACACACACACAGAGCACCCUCACACACACUGCGCAAUAUGCUUUCCUGGCAUUUU